rnacentral:rRNA from 1 species
AGGUAGUUGGUGGGGUAAAGGCCUACCAAGCCGACGAUCCUUAGCUGGUCUGAGAGGAUGAUCAGCCACACUGGGACUGAGACACGGCCCAGACUCCUACGGGAGGCAGCAGUGGGGAAUAUUGGACAAUGGGCGCAAGCCUGAUCCAGCAAUGCCGCGUGAGUGAUGAAGGCCUUCGGGUCGUAAAGCUCUUUUACCAGGGAUGAUAAUGACAGUACCUGGAGAAUAAGCUCCGGCUAACUCCGUGCCAGCAGCCGCGGUAAUACGGAGGGAGCUAGCGUUGUUCGGAAUUACUGGGCGUAAAGCGCACGUAGGCGGCUACUCAAGUCAGAGGUGAAAGCCCGGGGCUCAACCCCGGAACUGCCUUUGAAACUAGGUAGCUAGAAUCUUGGAGAGGUCAGUGGAAUUCCGAGUGUAGAGGUGAAAUUCGUAGAUAUCCGGAGGAACACCAGUGGCGAAAGCGGCCUUCUGGACCAUGACUGACGCUCAGACGCGAAAGCCAGGGGAGCAAACGGGAUUAGAGACCCCGGUAGUCCUGGCUGUAAACGAUG